rnacentral:rRNA from 1 species
UAUUUUCCUUCGGGAGGCGGCAGUGGGGAAUUUUGCACAAUGGGCGAAAGCCUGAUGGCAGCGACGCCGCCGUGAGUGGAUACCGUCUUUUGGGUUGUAAACCUCUUUCAGUAGGGAAGAAGCCCUCUUUGGGGGUGACGGUACUUGCAGAAGAAGCGCCGGCUAACUACGUGCCAGCAGCCGCGGUAAUACGUAGGGCGCAAGCGUUAUCCGGAAUUAUUGGGCGUAAAGAGCUCGUAGGCGGUUUGUCGCGUCUGCUGUGAAAGACCGGGGCUCAACUCCGGUUCUGCAGUGGGUACGGGCAGACUAGAGUGCAGUAGGGGAGACUGGAAUUCCUGGUGUAGCGGUGAAAUGCGCAGAUAUCAGGAGGAACACCGAUGGCGAAGGCAGGUCUCUGGGCUGUAACUGACGCUGAGGAGCGAAAGCAUGGGGAGCGAACAGGAUUAGAUACCCUGGUAGUCCAUGCCGUAAACGUUGGGCACUAGGUGUGGGGGACAUUCCACGUUUUCCGCGCCGUAGCUAACGCAUUAAGUGCCCCGCCUGGGGAGUACGGCCGCAAGGCUAAAACUCAAAGGAAUUGACGGGGGCCCGCACAAGCGGCGGAGCAUGCGGAUUAAUUCGAUGCAACGCGAAGAACCUUACCAAGGCUUGACAUGGACCGGAAAGACCUGAAAUCAUGGCCCCC